GAGUGCCCCAAGCGUUAUCCGGAAUUACUGGGCGUAAAGCGUGGGUAGGCGGGGUUUAAAUAGUGGAUGGGUUAAAUUCUGGGAGCUCAACUUCAGAGCUGCCAUUCAAACGUCUAAAACUAGAGCAAGUGAGAGGCUGAUGGAACCUACCAAGUAGGGGUGAUAUCCGUUGAUAUGGUAGGGAACGCCAAAGGCGAAGGCAUUCAGCUGGUGCUUAGCUGACGCUGAGCCACGAAAGCGUGGGUAGCAAAAAGGAUUAGAUACCCUUGUAGUCCACGCCCUAAACGUUGCCAACUAGCCGUUUGAAGUAUCGACCCUUCAAGUGGCGAAGCUAACGCGUUAAGUUGGCCGCCUGGGAAGUACGGCCGCAAGGCUA
rnacentral:rRNA from 1 species